UUGUCUCCGUCCGCAACCUCCUGCUCGUGUCACAUGUAGUAUAUGUAUCGGCUUAAUAUCUGUUAUGGGUUCUAUUUGGACCCAAGAUAAUAAGCUUAUUUUUGCAAGUUGGCGGAGUGCUUGAAUUCACCUCAGCCGCGAGUCGGCCUGGUAUUUUACGAUCCUCGGGAUCGGCGCACGGCUU